UUUGCCGCGAAAUCCUUCCCUACGUGUGCCAAAUCCCAACCGCGAAAGCCUCCCCCGCCUGCUUUUCUCCCUUGCGUGCGGCUACCAAUUUACGUCAUCUGCUCCUCCCCAACGGCGCAGGUCAUCCCAAAGCGUGCGGCUCCUCUCGAUCUCCGUCGCCUGCUCCCAGGUUUGCCUCCACUGACCCGCGCCUCAUCCUUCCCCAGUGCACCACACCAAGACCUAACACUAACACCCAAUUCAUUCCCAAUCCAUCUGUAGGGUAGCCGAUUCGUGUUUGUGAUGGAUUCCUUAGGUCAGCAAGGUUCACAUCAAAAGAGAUCAAAGAAGGCCUCUUCAACCUCCAGGGCUGCAGUAAAUUAAGGUGUUCUAGCACCUCCAAUUGCUCUGGGUGUUGCCAGCAGUCCAGGAAUUGCAGACCCACUCAUGGUUGCUGGAACUGCUUCUGCAUUUUUGAGGGGAAUGCCACUUGGGGGUUCAUUCUCGUCUGAAUCAUCUCCUAGCAGCUCUGAAUGGCUAUAUCCACCAGGUGGGUUUGUGAACUCUUUAAGGAUGCCAUAUCCUUAUGCUAACUGUCCAGAGAACUCCCAUUUUGUUGGUUGUCCAAGCUCUAUAGGGACUCUAUCACCAAUUAAUGACACAGAAGUACAUGAACCAAUUGAAAUUGAUGUCGAUGACACACUUGAGCCUAGUAGAACUGACAAGCGAUUGAACUGGUCACAUGAUGAAGAUGUCAUAUUGGUAAGUUUCAUUUCCAUCUCCCAAGUAAUUGUACUUGUACACAAGUGGUUCAUUAACAUAGUUAUGUAAUUGUAAGGGAAUGUCCUGUGGCAUGGAAGGGAAUGUAUACCCGUGGUGAUCAAGGUGUUCCUACAGUCAUUCUAGAAGCAGUAGCUUCGCAUGAUCGUUGGAUAUGGCAUGCCUUCUUUGGAGUUCCUAGAUCCAACAAUGAUAUCAACGUCCUUAAUCAAUCACCUUUGUUCGUUCAACAACUGAGAGGGGAAGGGCCUCAGGUGCAAUACAUUGUGAAUGGAAGGCAAUACAACACCGGUUAUUACCUUGCGGAUGGCAUAUAUCCGGAGUGGGCUGCUUUUGUAAAGUCAAUACGCUCACCAUAAUCAGAAAAGCACAAAUUAUUUGCAGAACACCAGGAAGGGGCAAGGAAAGAUGUUGAGUGCGCUUUUGGAAUUUUGCAAUCUCGUUUUAGUAUUUUAAAACGACAUGUGCGUCUUUAUGAACAAGGGGAUCUUGAGAAUAUUAUACUAGCUUGUAUCAUCCUUCAUAACAUGGUAAUAGAAGAUGAGAAGGAUUUGGAAGAGAUUCCUAUAGAUUUAAAUGAGGCAGCAAGCACAUCUACUGUGCAAGAAGCUAGUAUUUCUCAAGGACCUAACCCAUUGAUGGAACAAGUGAUAGAAAGAAAUGUCGCUAUUCGUGAUCGUAAUACACAUAAGCAACUUCAAUCAGAUCUGGUUGAGCAUGUAUGGCACAAGUUUGGAAAUUCAAAUGUAUUAGGAGCUUGAAGGGAGAGACCGGUGUGCAUGAAGAGACUGGAUAUGUGCUUGGAAAUACUGGAGCUAGGUGUCCAUGGAUUCUGAAGUCGAUGCCAAGUUUAUUUGCAUCCUCAUAUCAUUGCUACCAAUAUAUUAAGAGCAGUUUGCUCUAAUUACAUAUAAUUACGUACUAUGAACUUGCUUUUCUUCUCAGCAUGGAUAUCAUUUCACUAUGGAUUAAUAUUAUAUAACCUAUGUUUUUA